rnacentral:rRNA from 1 species
AAUAUUGCACAAUGGGGGAACCCCUGAUGCAGCAACGCCGCGUGAGCGAUGAAGGCCUUCGGGUCGUAAAGCUCUGUCCUAAGGGAAGAAAUUUGACGGUACGUUAGGAGGAAGCCCCGGCUAACUAAGUGCCAGCAGCCGCGGUAAUACGUAGGGGGCGAGGGUUAUACGGAAUUACUGCGCGUAAAGGGUGCGUAGGCGGCCUUUUAAGUCAGAUGUGAAAGGCUACGGCUUAACCGUAGUUAGCAUUUGAAACUAGAAGGCUUGAGUGCAGGAGAGGAGGGUGGAAUUCCUAGUGUAGCGGUGAAAAGCGUAGAUAUUAGGAGGAACACCAGUGGCGAAGGAGACUCUCUGGACUGCAACUAACGCUGAGGCACGAAAGCGUGGGGAGCAAAC